rfam:Dichanthelium oligosanthes cultivar Kellogg 1175 unplaced genomic scaffold Do_version_2_scaffold516, whole genome shotgun sequence.
GAUUGUUGCGAUGAGGACAAACAAGCUCCCUCUUCUGAAGACAUUGAGGACACUUGCUGGCAGAAUCGAACCAAUUACACUCAUUGCCACCACUGAGCAA